rnacentral:misc_RNA from 1 species
GCACGGUCAGCAACCUCUUCUUUGAAUCCGACGGGCAAUGGAUCAGCAUCAUCUGAGCUCACAACAUCAGGUCGAAGCACCAAAACAAAACUCACUUUGCUUAGGGAAAGCCCACUUGCUAUCUCUACAAGGUCAUUUUUUGUAACAUGGGCAUAGCUACCAAAUGAUAUGUACAACACUGAGGCAUGUGGCCUUUUGUCUAGCCACUUGGUGCAUUCUGAC